CACGUAGGGUGCAAGCGUUGUCCGGAAUUAUUGGGCGUAAAGAGCGUGUAGGCGGCCAAGCAGGUCCGUUGUGAAAACUGGAGGCUUAACCUCCAGACGUCGACGGAAACCGCGUGGCUAGAGUCCGGAAGAGGAGAGUGGAAUUCCUGGUGUAGCGGUGAAAUGCGCAGAUAUCAGGAAGAACACCAAUGGCGAAGGCAGCUCUCUGGGACGGUACUGACGCUGAGACGCGAAAGCGUGGGGAGCGAACAGG
rnacentral:rRNA from 1 species